rnacentral:rRNA from 1 species
CAGUAGCCACGGUAAUACAGAGGGUGCGAGCGUUAAUCGGAUUUACUGGGCGUAAAGCGUGCGUAGGCGGCUUUUUAAGUCGGAUGUGAAAUCCCUGAGCUUAACUUAGGAAUUGCAUUCGAUACUGGGAAGCUAGAGUAUGGGAGAGGAUGGUAGAAUUCCAGGUGUAGCGGUGAAAUGCGUAGAGAUCUGGAGGAAUACCGAUGGCGAAGGCAGCCAUCUGGCCUAAUACUGACGCUGAGGUACGAAAGCAUGGGGAGCAAACAGGAUUAGAGACCCCAGUAGUCCCUGUCUCUUAUAA